UAAAAAAGAAGCAAACUGUCAUCUACUCAAAUUCUUUGACUCAAAUUUCAAUAUUGUGUCGUCUAGUCUCAAACACCAAAAUGUAAUAAAACACGUAAACAAAGCAAAUACAAUGAAAACGCAACUGCAAAACCUCAUAACCUUUUAGGAAAAAUAUUGUACUAUACACAACAUUAAAAACAGGAAAAAUGCCGAAGUACAAGGAAUUCGACCCAUGCUUAGGGCGGCGAUCUGAGAAAUCCUACUCUACUAUACUAAAGGAGUUUCUGCAGUUCGCAUUCACUCACAUCAUCCUCUGCGCAUGUAGAAUCGUUCCUAUCGUCCUGUAUGGAGCUAUAGGAAUCUUCUAUUUACUAUGCGAAGGUUUUUGCUGCGUUGUGUUUUGCACUUGAAGGACAUGCAUUAGCAAGUUAAUGCCAAGCACUGAUGUGUUUAUGGAUUCGUGCAAUCCGACUGAACUGCUGAGUCACCAUCUGAAUCGGUCUAUUCCUUGCCUUCCGCAUAUGCGUGAGAACAGGAUCAUUCGAUCAUACUUUAUUUCCGUUCAGAUGGACGGAGCAUGAUGAAAUUCAAUACGUUGUGUCUAGUAUUCUAUUAAGCAAGUAUUUCUAUUUAGCGGUUGGUUUUCAUUGCUUUGUGACCGUAAAAACUUGUAAUAGUAGCAAUGAUUUUAAAUACAUUUACAGACUU